rnacentral:rRNA from 1 species
UUGAACGCUGGCGGCAGGCCUAACACAUGCACGUCGAGCGGAUGAAGGGAGCUUGCUCCUGGAUUCAGCGGCGGACGGGUGAGUAAUGCCUAGGAAUCUGCCUGGUAGUGGGGGAUAACGUCCGGAAACGGGCGCUAAUACCGCAUACGUCCUGAGGGAGAAAGUGGGGGAUCUUCGGACCUCACGCUAUCAGAUGAGCCUAGGUCGGAUUAGCUAGUUGGUGGGGUAAUGGCCUACCAAGGCGACGAUCCGUAACUGGUCUGAGAGGAUGAUCAGUCACACUGGAACUGAGACACGGUCCAGACUCCUACGGGAGGCAGCAGUGGGGAAUAUUGGACAAUGGGCGAAAGCCUGAUCCAGCCAUGCCGCGUGUGUGAAGAAGGUCUUCGGAUUGUAAAGCACUUUAAGUUGGGAGGAAGGGCAGUAAGUUAAUACCUUGCUGUUUUGACGUUACCAACAGAAUAAGCACCGGCUAACUUCGUG